rnacentral:rRNA from 1 species
AGAGUUUGAUCAUGGCUCAGGAUGAACGCUGGCGGUAUGCUUAACACAUGCAAGUCGAACGAAUCCCUUCGGGGAUGAGUGGCGGACGGGUGAGUAACGCGUGAGAAUUUACCAAAAGGACCGGGACAACCACUGGAAACGGUGGCUAAUACCGGAUGAGCCGAAAAGUAAAAAGGGAAACCUGCCUUUUGAAGAGCUCGCGUCUGAUUAGCUAGUUGGUGAGGUAAGAGCUUACCAAGGCAGCGAUCAGUAGCUGGUCUGAGAGGACGACCAGCCACACUGGGACUGAGACACGGCCCAGACUCCUACGGGAGGCAGCAGUGGGGAAUUUUCCGCAAUGGGCGAAAGCCUGACGGAGCAAGACCGCGUGAGGGAGGAAGGCUCUUGGGUCGUAAACCUCUUUUGUCAGGGAAGAACACAAUGACGGUACCUGACGAAUCAGCAUCGGCUAACUCCGUGCCAGCAGCCGCGGUAAUACGGAGGAUGCAAGCGUUAUCCGGAAUUAUUGGGCGUAAAGCGUCCGUAGAUGGUUUUGCCAGUCGGCUGUCAAAGCACAGGGCUUAACCCUGUAAAGGCAGUGGAAACUACAAGACUAGAGUGCAGUAGGGGCAGAGGGAAUUCCCAGUGUAGCGGUGAAAUGCGUAGAGAUUGGGAAGAACACCCGUGGCGAAAGCGCUCUGCUGGACUGCCACUGACAUUGAGGGACGAAAGCUAGGGGAGCGAAUGGGAUUAGAUACCCCAGUAGUCC